rnacentral:rRNA from 1 species
AAUCAACGCUGGCGGCGUGCCUAACACAUGCAAGUCGAACGCGACUUGGGCUUCGGUCCAAGUUGAGUGGCGAACGGGUGAGUAACACGUGGGUGACCUACCUUCGAGUGGGGGAUAACGUCCCGAAAGGGACGCUAAUACCGCAUAACAUCCUGCCUUUGAACAGGUGGAGAUCAAAGCCGGGGAUCGCAAGACCUGGCGCUUGAUGAGGGGCCCGCGCCUGAUUAGCUAGUUGGUGAGGUAAUGGCUCACCAAGGCGACGAUCAGUAUCCGGCCUGAGAGGGCGGACGGACACACUGGGACUGAGACACGGCCCAGACACCUACGGGUGGCUG